rnacentral:lncRNA from 1 species
AAUACAUAUAAAAAAGAAGAUGUGGUAUGAUUGCCAAUGAGACAACGAUCCACAAAAGACAAAAAUGACACAAACAUUAACAAUUAUAGGUCACCGUACGGCCUUCAACAAUGAGCAAAGCCCAUACCGCAUAUAGUCAGCUAAAAAUGAACAAAAACAUAUCUAUAUUUAUAUUCCAAUAUUCUUAAUUGUCAUGAAAUAGAAAGCUGAUAGAAAGAUGGAAAAACUAUUUAUAUUAAAUAUAUAUCCUAACUCAUCCUGUCACUGGC